GACGAACGCUGGCGGCGUGCUUAACACAUGCAAGUCGAACGGAAAGGCCUCUUUCGGGGGGUGCUCGCGUGGCGAACGGGGGAGUAACACGUGAGUAACAUGCCCUUGACACUGUGGUAACUUCAGGAAACUGGGGCUAAUACCGGAUAGGAGAUCCUGCUGCAUGGUGGGGGUGGGAGAGUUUCGGCGGUUGGGGAUGGACUCGCGGCUUAUCUGCUCGUUGGUGGGGGAGAGGCGUACCAAGGCUUUUACGGGUGGCCGGCCUGAGAGGGUGACCGGCCACAUUGGACCUGAGUUACGGCCAGAACUCCUACGGGGGGCGGAGUGGGGAAAAAUGGACCAUUGGUGGGAGCCUGAUGCAACAAACCCGUGUUGGGGGAGACCGGCUUUGGGUUUGAAACCGCCUUCGCCCAUGAAGAAGCCGUGUGUGACGGUAGUGGGUAAAGAAGCACCGGCUAACUACGUG
rnacentral:rRNA from 1 species